GACAGAGGAUGCAAGCGUUAUCCGGAAUGAUUGGGCGUAAAGCGUCUGUAGGUGGCUUUUUAAGUCCGCCGUCAAAUCCCAGGGCUCAACCCUGGACAGGCGGUGGAAACUACCAAGCUGGAGUACGGAAGAGGCGAGUGGAAUUCCCGGUGUAGCGGUGAAAUGCGCAGAUAUCGGGAGGAACACCAAUUGCGAAGGCAGCUCGCUGGGACGUCACUGACGCUGAGACGCGAAAGCGUGGGGAGCAAACAGG
rnacentral:rRNA from 1 species